UGAGGUGGCACAGGGCUUUGCAGCCUGGCAGUGGCACUGCUGGGCAGCUCCAGCUCGAAGGUGAUGCACUCAGGUGCUGCCACAUUCACCUGGACCCUGCCAGCCAGGCAGGAGGUCCAUGAACAGCAACAAAAUCACUAAAUGACCAUGUCUAAAACUGCACGUUCAAGCAGCUGGGGGAGGACAUCUGCUCACCUGAAGAUUUUCCUGCCCAUUUGCUGGAGCUGACAAUGCUCUUCAGCUCCUCCCUGGCAUGCUCAAGGUUGCAUCCCAAGCAUCCAGACACUGCCUGUGAGAUUUGGUGCAAAAGCUUCAGAAGCAGAGACCCAGGAGCAGUGUCGGGUUGGCUUCGGGGAACGCAAUUCUCAUUCCUUUGAAAAUUCUCGUUCUGCCGGUUGGGAGUUUUGUUCAGCAUUUCCCUUCCCAGUUGGCAUCGUGGGGCUGAACUUUCUCAAGGUGUUGAGUGUGUGGAAAGAAGAAAAAAGAAAGGCAGAUUUCAUCUAGCUUGGAUUUACCCGGGGAGUGAUUCUCUUCCAGAGAUCCUAAUCUGAAACCGCUUCUUCCAGCUCCCUCCUGUAGUAGUUUACAACUCCUGACGUAUGUACACAGGGAUGGCUUGUGAAUCUGGGAGCACCAAUGGGGCUGGCCAAGGGCUCAGGGAAGGGAUGGAUUGGCAUUUUGGCUCAUGAGUUUAAGAAUCAGGUUUAUUCCAGCUGUUUCUAUGCCCCAGCCCUGUG